UACCGCUUUAAUAUUAUUUGGACUGCAUAUAAAUUGCCUAGAAACCCUUCUCUUCUCAUCCCCGGGGAUGUGCUCCCUAGUUGAGACUCCCUAUUCUGUUAGUAUCAUACCUGAAAAUAAGAAAGAGGCUCGGACAAGUUACAAGGCCGGAUAGCCUUUUGGUCUAGAACAUAUACCCAGGUUUUAAAUAUAGAAUAACUUAACCUUAUGUCGGAUCCCUAGUAGGAGCGCUUAUAUACAUCAUGCAUUUGACUUAGGGGACUCAACACAGGGGUAGAGUCUGUCUACGAUAUGUGUAUCCAAAAUAAUGGACCAUCCUGAAGCAUCUUUGCGUGAUACUUGUGCAUUUAUUCCGGGUUUUGCAUGCCGACCGGCUAAUGAAUAUUAGGGAAAAAGUUGAGAAAAGAGAAAUAGCAGCAUGAGGGUAAAGAGAGUUGAUCGCUUGUUUUGAAAAAUAAAUAAAUGUCCAAAUAUUGUCGAAGCUCUGCUGAAUUUUUGAAGAAAAAAAGAGAAAAAAGAAAAAAAGAGUCUAUUUUAUUCACCCAGGAAAGAGAGAAAAAGUCUUGUUUUCAAAAAUAGUUUUUUAUUUAUGAAAUGAAAAAAAAAGGAAGAAAAGUCUUGUUAUAAAAAAUAGCUUUGUUUGCCCGAACUACGCCAGUUUGAUUCUCACAGGGUCUGAGAUACGUAGGCAACCCCAUAGGGCCUAACUUUAUUUUUACAAAAAAUAACCAAAAGAACCAGAUUUUAUUUGUGACUAGCAAAUAAAGCAGCUUUGUCAAAAUUCGUCGCGUGUCCCUAAAAGGGCGCCGGAAGGCUAUUUUUGCAAAAACAUCCGCGUUGGAUUAUUUUCAACUCUUGACCGACAGCAGGCACAACCUUAAAAUCCUCCUUCGGAAGUGCUAAAAGGUCGUAUUUGUAAGGCUGGGAUUUAAUUUUUAAAAUGAAAAUAUGAAAAAUCAACUUGGUUUUUUUGAGUCCAAUAAAUCUUGGUUUUCCCUUAAUCACCCUAAUAAAUGUACAAAAUGAGCACGAAUCAGCAUUUGCCAAUAACAAUCAUGAACAAAAUCAAUUUUCAGCUACACAUAUGGUGGAAUGAGUUGGAUCAAGAUGGUCAGGAAUGGGUAAGACAACAGUUGGGCGCUCUUAUAGACAUUUGGGAAAUCAAACCACGGGAUGAUCUGAUCAAGGCUAUGAUAACUUUCUAGCACCCCGCUCGUAAUGUUUUUUCCUUCACAGACUUUGAGCUUAACCCUAACUUGGAGGAGAUAGCCGGGUACAUUAGAUUUGGACGAGGUCUGAGGAAGCAACAACUUAUAUUUCCAAGGGCCCCAUCGGUGCACAAGUUUUUUGACCUCCUGAAUAUCAUCAAACAGACAAGUGAAAACCGCGUAAGCAACAGAUGUUGUGAUUUUCAUUUCUUAUACUUCAGGUUUGGGCAUUCUUCUAGUUUUGAGACACAUGAAAAAGGGGUUGAGCAACAAGCAAGAUAAGGGUCUUUGGUAACUUCAUCGCCGGUUCACAUUUAUUAUGGCAUUCUUGGGGAUAAUGGUUUUUCCAAAUGAGAAAGGGACAGUGGAUAUUCAUAUGGCUAGAAUUGCUCAAAUCCUCACCACCAGGAAAAAUCAUACACUUGCCCCGUUGGUACUGGAGGAUAUUUAUCGUGCGUUGACUUUAUACAAAGUUGGGGCCCAGUUCUUCGAAGGUUGAAAUAUCCUCCUACAAAUGUGGAUGAUCGAGCAUCUUCGCCACCAUCCCAGAUUCAUGAGUUAUGGUUCAAGCCCAAAUAAUUUCAUCACCAGUUAUCAAGAGAGGGUAAAGGGUUACAUCGUGCCAGAGGGGUUUGAAGUAUGGGUGUGUCAUUUGAAAACUCUCAACGCAAGUUAAAUUGAGUGGUUCAUAGGAUGGCUCCCGAAGACAAAAGCAAUAUACAUGACUGAUGCUAAAGGCUACUUGAGGAUAAUGGGUGUGAAAAGUAUUCAACCGUUUGCACCACAGAGGGUCUUGAGACAAUUGGGACAGUAUCAAAUUGUGCCUGAAGAUGAAGAUCUAAUUACUCAAGUUAUAGCAUUGCAUCCGGAAGCCGCAUUGCCCGAAGCUUUAGUUCAACAGGAUUGGAAUGGAUACCGGUAACUUAAAAAUGGAACCCAGGUACCAGAUGUCGCAAAAGGUGAAGUGGAUCCACACUAUGCUACUUAGUUUGAGACGAGGUCCUAUAUGAACACUGAGCCGGAACUCGAACCUAAGAGACCCGCCAAAAGACCUCAUGUUCAAGCUUUCGAGGAUAAAAUCCAAGAAAGAUUAGCAUAGGGAGAAAAGGAAAAAGCAUAUCAAGAUGAGAUUCAUGCCUUGAAAGAAAAGCUAAGAAACAUGGAAUUCAACAAUGAUCUUCAGGUGUAGGAAGCUGAAGAUGAGAAAAGAAUAUUGAUCCAAGAAAAUGAAGCUCUCACAGCACAAACCCAAAAAAUGAAAUAGCAAUUGACAACCUGGGCAAGAGUAUAAAAGAUGAGAAGCUCAUCUACAAUCUUACCCCGAAGGCACAAGAUUUCGAGGAUGAUUUAUAGAGGCUAAAAAGGAGUUAGUAAAUGCUCGAUCCUCUGUGAACACAUGAUUUCAACACUUUAAUGUAUUUGUGAUCUUCACUUGAGUCGGUACUUUUUCUUGGAGUUUGUUAAGUUGUUUUGGAGUCUGUUAGGUCUUUUGAAUUGAUCUUUUCUAAGCUUGUUAGUUUAUUUCGAGUCUGUAAGUCCUGAGUCUUUAUAGUCAAGGUGUUUGUUAUUAUUGAAAAUUUCAAAAACAAAUAUUUUGUUGUUUAUUUCUUUUCAUAUUCGCAAGAACUACACUCGGUCUGAUUCAUGCGGGGUCAUGAUACGUAGGCAAUCCAUAUAGGAUUCGACCACAACUAAAAUAAAAUGGGAGAGAAGUGAAUGUCAUGAUGUGAAGCAGUAGUAACACAAUAGAAAGAAUAAUAAAACAAAAGUCAAACCAAAUAAGCAAAGGAAAAGAGGGGAAAGCAACAAACAAACAAUGGAAAAACAAAAGGGAGGAGUGAGAGGAUAAAGCAAAGAAGAGGCAUUGCAAAUAAAGAAAAGAAAAGCCAGGAUGACGCAUGCAACCAAGCAAGGGCAUAUUAUAAAUGGUUAACUAUUAGGUUCAUUCAUUCCCAAAAUGUGCGGUUACCUAUCUAUUAAUGCUCUAGCUGCUAACAAAGUUGUUGUUGAGUCCAGGCAGGUGGUUAGUUCUUGCGGCAUACUAACAACCCACUCCCACAACACUUGGUCUAAGAGCAAACAGAUCAUGCCAAUCAGGAAACUCAUGCCAGCUCAUUGACCCCUCGAAAGAGGUAGAGGAAUUGGACAUUAAUGCAAUGAAAGAGGAAAUGUACAAACUAAAACACCAAAUGGCUGAAAUAUACCAGGCUUGGAUGACCGGGGCAGCACUACCCCUGCCAGCACCUAGCUUCCUAGAUGCUACCCUCCGCCAAACUCCAAUUAUUGUUCCAAAUGAUCCUCUAUACUCUCCAUAUACACCCACUUAUCACAGUUUUUCCUAUCACCCUGGUAGCUCCAUCGCUCACCACAACGAAUACCUACUCAAAGCUCAUGAUGCCCAAUAUUACCCCUCAAAGGUUGCCCGCAAAAAAAGCCCUCAAGAUAAGCUUCAUGCUGAAAAUGAAAAGUUCACGGGAAGAGAAGGGCAGGAUGGAAUAACCCGGAGGCUGGAAGGCAUAAUACAGUCCUUGAAGAACAAGCAAAGAAUGGGAGACCAUGGUAGUAUGGCUUGCAAAGAAUUGAUUGUGUCCCUUGAAGUUCGCCUGCCCGCAGGGUUCAAAGUGCCAAAGUUUAACUUGUAUGAUGGGUGUGAAUAUCUGGUAGUCCAUAUGAGGGUCUAUGCAGUGAAAUGAGAAGUGUUGGAGAGAAAGAAUGACUUGUUGAUAGCAUAUAUCAGUAAGAGCUUGACUGGGCAGCUUUGGACUGAUAUACUCAUCAAGAUGUCGGCAAAUGGCCUACAUUGGGUGACAUGGCUUGAGAUUUUGUUCUAUACUUUCAAUAUAAAUAUACCCCAGGCCGUUCUUCCCUAUCUAAAAUGGAAAAGAAGCCGGAGGAAAGCUUUAGGGAGUUUGGAAUCAGAUGGAGGGAGCAAGCUAUUCGAGUUAGUACCCCGCUUGGUGAAGAAAAAAUGGUUGAGCUUUUCCUAUAAGCCCAGGAGCCCACCUACUUCAGUCAUUUGAUCCCAACUUUGCAAAAACCUUUCAAUCAUGUGCUAAAGAUGGGGGAGCUAGUAGAAAAGGAAUCAAGUCAGGCAAAAUUAUGAGUUGUUCGAAAGACAUUCAGAACACCCAAGUAAGCUUCGGUGGGAGAAAGAGAAAUAGAAAUGAUGAUGAACAUUUCCAGACUCGACAUCCUCCUCAUGGAUAUCUUUGUGUACCAGAUGAUCCUCCCCAACGCUGCUUCUCUCCACAGAGCUCCCAAAAUCAUACAUCACUUUCCUCGUACCCUGCUCUACAGAAUGCCUAUCCACUCCCACGAGCAUACUGAAAACCUCUUGGAUCAAGGUUCCGGCCCAGGUAAGCGUGUAAGAACGAGAGACUGCUGAAAAAAAGAAAAGGCUUUCACCCCUAUCAGAGAAUCAUACAACAGUUUGUUCCAAAGUUUGAAGCAAUUGGACAUGUUGAAGCCGAUUCAGAUAAAAAUACCAAACCCUAUGUCAAAGAAGUUUGAUGCUUCUCAAAGAUGCGCAUAUUGUUCAGAUGCCCGUGGCAUGGCAUAGAGAAGUGUUGGAGUCUGAAGAGAGCAAUUCAGAAACUUAUUGAUGCAGGUGACAUUGUCGUACAAAAUUCGGAUGCAGCAGACACUAGCCAAAGUCCAUCGCCUGUGCAUAUUGAGACGCACAUGUUGGAAUGUGAGAAUUCUUCUGCGAGCCUCGGAGGCACACAUGCUGCUGAGCUUUCAGCGCAUUCAGAGGUUGAUCUUAAGAAUGAGCCGGCGAAAGGGACCCAAAAGUAAUCUGUUAAGAACAGUGUGAUGAAGACUUGUGAAGCUCCUAGUAUUAUUGAUACGGAACCCAUCGGCUAAUAUGUCGUUCUUCGUAAUUGGAAAGACGCUCCAUUUCUUGGCCAUCCGGAGAGGGGUCUUAGUGGUUUAUUUUGUUGUCAUUUCUGUUGUUUGGGUAAUUUUCAGGGUUGUAAUCCUAAUACUGUCCCAUGAUUCAAACUCUUCAGUCCUUUUAUUUUGCUUGUUUGUUUUUUGCAACCUGUUUAGUGUCGUCUAGGUUCGUUCCAGGGUCGCAACCCUAGUUUAUUCCACUUGUUUUGUUGUUCAAACUCUUUCACCAUCUGUCUAAUGCAAUUUUCUACUUUCUGUUAUUUCUACUCAUUUGGUUUAGCUUUCUUUUCUUUUUACAAUUAUUUUCCUUGUUGACUCUAGUGACGUGACAUGCAUGCAUAAUUCUCCGCUUGGCCUUAAAAGGUUAGUUUAUUCAUGAAGCAAUGAAACUUAGUUUAGUCAUAAAGCAAUGAAACAAUUCUGAAGAUGACAUAGACACUUGAGGGAAAUAAGAAUAGAUUUGGGCGUUUUGAGAUCUUUUGAAGCCCAAACCAUGUGAAACAGGGGCAGAUAGAACAUGAAAAAUUCCUAAAAGAAAGUUUACCAAACUGGUAGGGACCAUUUGUUGUAACUAGAGUGUUGUCCAAUGCUGCAUUAUCUUUGACAGAUAAAGAAGGAAAAUGUGUAGAAAUGGCUAUCAAUUAUGAUGCAGUCAAGAGAUACUAUGUAUGAUUCCUUUGUCUGAUUGUACUUGCUUGUCUUAUCAUAUUUUGAAGAUUGGAAUGACGAAGGCAUUUUGUUCCGCUAUCUAACACUUCAUCAUUUGCUAACCCUUUUGAGCUUUAAUUAUUUUCUUUCAUACCCCUCUUUCGGAAUCAGUAACAAAAGUCACAAACGCAAGUGUGAGAAGGUAGUGAAAGGAAAGGAAAGGAAAGAAUGAAAAGAAUGAAAAGAAAAAAGAAAAAAAAGAAAAGAAAAACAAGAAAAGAAAAGAGAAAAGAGAAAAGAGAAAAGGAAAAAAGAAAAAAAGAAAAAAAGAAGAAAUAGAAAGAAAAAAAAACAGUUAAACCACAACAAAAACAAGGAAUGUGCAUGAACUACAUUAGACCUGAUUCCUUUUAAAGGAUACGUAGGCAGCCUCAUGGUCCGGUCUCAUCAAAAUAAAAAUAAAUGACUUCAAAAUCUGCCACCAGCUUACCAGUUGCACAAAACGGGAUCGGUUUGUCAUAUUAAAGCGUCAUAAGUCAGGAAAACAGCAAGCACACUGAGCGGGUAACAUUCAACAUGCUUCGGGAUUCGUUUGAAAUACAAAGGCUUGGUAUACAGCAAUUCAUGGACAAUGCAACAGAAUGAGGGAUAGAGAACAGAUCAAAGGUGUUUUCUAUGAUAAGAAGGGUGGUAAACCAGUGACAAGCAAGAUCUUCCAAGAAGAAAUCGAAGUUAUCAUGGCUAGCGAUGGAGCGUUAGACCUCAAGGCCAGAACUAGAGGUUUGAGUCAAGAAAAAACAUCAUACACACUGAGGUUGGUAACAAUUAAUAUGCUUUGGGGAUCAUGUGAAACACAAAGNNNNNNNNNNNNNNNNNNNNNNNNNNNNNNNNNNNNNNNNNNNNNNNNNNNNNNNNNNNNNNNNNNNNCAGACGUGUGCUCUUCCGAUCUACACAAAGGUUUGGUAGACGUCGGUUCAGGAGUGAUGCAACAGAUAGAAGGUAUUGUGUUCAUACAAGAAGAGGUAUUUUCUGGGUUAAGGUUUACAAAGGAAAUGGUUAGUCAAGGAACAAGCAGGGUCUUCGAAUUGAAAUCAUUUAUCAUGACAAGUGAAGUAGCAAAAGACCUCAAGGUCAAGGCUAGAGGUUUAAGUCAAUAAAGAAUAGCAUACACACGGAGUAGGGGCAAUGGAAGUGCUUUGGGAUUCAUGUGAGACACAAAGGUGGGGAAGAUGUCAGUUCAUAAGCAAUACAACAAAUAGAGGAUAUUAGGUCUGAACAGAGAAGAGGUAUUUUCUGUGAUAAGGGUGACAGAGAAGUUGGUUAGCCAAUAAGAAAGCCAUGUAUUUCAAGGUGAAAUCAAAGCUGCCAUGGCAAGUGAAAAGGCACAACACAAAGAUUGGAAGGACAAAAGGGUUCAGGGGGUUAGCCAAGCAUCGUAAACUGAUUGGGUAAUCUCAAAAAGGAUGCAAGGGUGUGGCAAAAGAGUCAGAAGCGCAACACGAAAAUGGGAAAGGCCAACAGGAUUAGCCAAGCAUAGUAAACGGGCUCAGCAAUAUCAAGAAAGGAUGUAAGAAUUCUAGCAAGAGGGUUGAAAGUGCAACACAAAGAUGGGGGAGCAGAGCAAAGCCACAAGGGUCAGGGGGUCAGCCAAGGAGUGUAACACAAUAACGGGGGAGCAAAGUAAGACCAUAAAGGUUCGGGGGUCAGCCAACCAACCCAGCAAACUCAUCAUCAACAUGAAAAUUGAACACAGCGUAACACGACAGUGGGGAGGCCGAAUGCCGCAAAAUAACAACCACUUUUCAAACUGACAAGUUUUCUUUGAUUGACGCAGGGGUAGAAAAAUUCCGGGAGAUCCUAAAGGAGGCCAUCCACAGGGGAAGCCAGGCACAUGGAAGGUAUGAUAAAAAUCUCAGGGGCUACCUAGAAAUGGGAACCAAUUAAAACAUAAUCUGACAUAAAUAUUCCCCCAGCAAGAGUAUAAUGGAUGAAACUUUAAUUAGCAACCCCAACAGAAACAACUGAGAGUUAAAAGGGGCAUGCAAUUUGGAAAUUUUGAGACCCUCUUGGAAAUAGGACUCAUUUUAAAACUCAAACAAGCACAAGCAACAUGGGCGGUUACAAAUACCUUCCCCAGUAAGAGUCUUCAGAACUCGCUUGAACAAUGAUCCCCAGCAGAAACAACAGGAAGUUAAUCUGGAACCCUUAGGACACUCCUGGAAAAGGGGACUUAUUUAAAGGUUAAAAAGGUAAUCAUGGAUAGUGAAGGGCGUAAAAUGACUUACAUGUUGAAAUUCGAUUCAGUUAAGAGUUGUCAGAACCCUCCUGAAAAAUUGGACUUAGCCUAAAACACAAACAAGCAUGGGUAACACGGGCGGGCACGAAUAUUUCCCCAACAAGAGGCGUCAGGACCCGCUUGAAUAAUGGGAUGUAGCUCUGAAUACUAAGCAGACACAUUUGUCAUAUAAUUAAGAGUUGUCAAGACCUUUCCGGAAAAUGGGAAGUAGCUUCAAUAACCGAUCCCCAGUAGAUAUAACUCGGAUAAUAAGACAUAGUGAAAAAUAAUACCUUUUGAGAACACAACCUAACUCUAGAGUUGUCAUGGGAUUUGAUUAACACUCACAGAUCAUCCAGCACCAAACUGGGGUAGAAAAAAUUUCUCUUGUUUUGUUGUGAUCAAGUACACAAGCAACAAUCUCAGAAAAUAUUGGAAUAUUUUUCAAGUUGCAAGUUUUGGUAAUCAGGCGUCCACCUGUAGAAUAAGGGAAUAUUUUUCAAGAUGCAAGUUNNNNNNNNNNNNNNNNNNNNNNNNNNNNNNNNNNNNNNNNNNNNNNNNNNNNNNNNNNNNNNNNNNNNNNNNNNNNGGUAAUCAGGCGCCACUUGUAGAACAAGGGAAUAUUUUUCAAGAUGCAAGUUUUGGUAAUCAGGCGUCCACUUAUAGAACUAGGGAAUAUUUUUCAAAUUUUGAAUUUUGGCAAUCAGGCGCCCACUUGUAGAACAAGGGAAUACAUUUCAAGUCCAACAAUUCAACAUCAAACAUGGAAGAAGAGAAAACGAGGUCAACAAGGCAACAAGAAGUUUUAAAGAAAGAAAUAUAAGUCAACGAGGAAAUAAGAAGUUCUACAGGAAGAAAUACAAGUCAACAAGGCAGAAAGAAGUUUUACAUGAAUAAAUACAAGUCAAUGAGACAACAAGAAGUUUUACAAGAAGAAAUACAAGUCAACGGGUCAACGAGAAGUUUAACAGGAGAAAUACAAGGCAACAAAGCAACAAGGAUCAAUUGCAAGUUUGAAGAUGUAGGUAGGUUCUUUUGUAACUCAUAGUUCAUAUAUUAGUCUAGCUUAUUUUAUAUUUUCACAAGGUGUAAUAAGGAGGUCUAGCUACCAAACACUCCUGAACUACACUGACCUGAUUCCUUUUUAGCCGAGGAUAUGUAGGCAANNNNNNNNNNNNNNNNNNNNNNNNNNNNNNNNNNNNNNNNNNNNNNNNNNNNNNNNNNNNNNNNNNNNNNNNNNNNNNNNNNNNNNNNNNNNNNNNNNNNNNNNNNNNNNNNNNNNNNNNNNNNNNNNNNNNNNNNNNNNAAGGGGUUUGGUUUAGUUGAUUUGAUUUAGGCAACCUCUAAAUCAGGGUGCAACCAAGCUUUUCAAAACGCUUCUCAUGGAGGGUCAGGUAGGCAAAAAUCUCUCAUGGUCACUCACUUAUCUUUGCCUGAAAACCCUUCGUGUCUCCGAGCAAAGAGGGGCAGCUGUGAGCAUAUGAGUUUUGCCUAACCUAAAUUUAUCCUACAAAUUCGCAAAAUUAGGAUCUUUCAUAAUCUGUGUGAUUUUUAAUAUUUAAUUGCAUAAAUUAAGUGUUGGUUUGCACGUUGAGUGCAUUUUAAUUCAAAAAAAUACCAAAAUCUGUGCAUUUUCAUUUAGGAUCUAAUUUGACAUCUUUACAUUAAUUAAGAAAAUAAAUCAUUUUAUAAAAUAGAAAAAUCACAAAAAUAGAUUAGUUUGCAUUUUUAACUUUUGAAUUAGUGUUUCUUUUAAAUUAGUUUUGUGCUUUAUCAUAUGUGUUUAAUUAGUUUCUUAGGGUUAAUUGAAUUUAAGGAAUUAAUGUAGAUGUAUUUUAGUUUUAAAUCAAAAAGAAAGGGAAUUAAAAAGAGGUUGAAAAUAAAAGAGAGGAAAAAGAAAUAAAAAUAGGCCAUUUUUGCAAAUUUAACCCAUUUCCCAAUCCAACCCAAAUCCUUUUGCCCGGCCCAGCUUUUGUUACGACGAAAUAACGUCGUUUAGGGCAUUUUAAUCCUGACCGACUAGGUUGUUUAAUCUAACGGUCGGUAACUAAGUACUCAUUGAUAUAUAAAUGUCUGAAUCACCCUACCCCAUCCCCCCUUCACGCCUCUCCUUCAUCUCUUCAGAGACCAGCCACACCCCAUCGUCUACCGCCCUAGACCGCCACCAGAAAUCAUCUCACAGUGAUGGCCAAACUCCAAUCCCGUCCAAAAUUAAGCCAUAACACCCCCUCGACAUCCUUUAUUCAACCAUCCAACUCUCAUCCUUCGAAUCCCUCCAAAACGUAUCGAAUAUUCGGAGAAGUGAACGCCGGCUCCGCCGGCCACGGUGGCACCACCACCCUUUCCCCACCAAAUUAUCAACCCUAAACCCUCUCCAUCUCCCUCACCUCUUACCAAAACUCCAAACCCCAUUCCUAAAUCACAGCCAAUCGUUUCGAAUAUUAAAUCAAAAUCAAGGCCCAAAACCCUAAUUCGUCCAAACCUCAUCAAACUUACACCCUAUGUUUUCCUAGCCUCCUUCUUCCCAAAUCCCAAACCAGAAUCUUCCAAAUCUAAGUGGAAGUUCACAAAUUUUGGAUCUAGGGUUGUGUUGUCAAGGCUGUUCGAAUUUCCAGGGACAGCCAGUGUUCGAUUGAUUUUAAAAUGGUGUUAUAUGUUUGUUCUUGGCAAGAACAAACACAUAACAUUUUUUGAGGACCAAUUUCUGGCGAGUUUAAAUUUUGAAAUCAGUAAGUCCUUUUCUCUUGUUUUGUUUGAUUUUUCUUUACCUCGUUAGAUUUGUUUAUUUUUUUUCUCCCUGUUUUGAUGACUUCGAUUAUGAUAAUCCUCCUUCAAUCAAUUACUCCUCAUAAUAAUUGACUUAGUGUUUUAGGAUUUUAAUUUGAUUUUUGUUCUAUUUUUUUGAGUUCUUUAUUUUGUGUUAAUUCUUAUUGAUCUUAUUUGAUUCGAGUUCAAAUUUUCUAUCGAGUUUGAUGACUGAAAGUAUGAUAUGUUUUUUUUUUAAUUUUGUGUUUGUUUUUAAUUGUGACUUUAGCUUUAAUUUAGCCUUAGGGUUUUAGUGUUAAUUAGGAUUUAUUUUCGGUUUGGUUAAUUAGUUCAAUUAUUAGGUAAUGAUCGAUUAUAGCUGAGUAGUCUUCAGUUUAAUAUUGGCUAACCAUGGUAAACCGAGACCAAGGGGUUUGGUUUAGUUGAUUUGGGUUUGGUAAUUUCAGAAUAAUGUUAGGAUAUUGUAGGUAUUUCAAUCUUGCAAGUAAUAGGAAUAGAAUUCCCUAGAAGAUUGUAGAUGGUGUUCAAAAUGGAAUUUCAGAAAAUUGGUAGUGUAACUUGAGAAGAAAGUCAGCAAAUAAAGGUCUAACUAGUUAAAACUAAAAAUAAAAGAUGGACUAAGGGUACAAAACUAAAAAUAGAGGGUUGCCCUAUUUGCUUGCCUAUAAAAGGCAUUGCAAAAUUUCCUUGCAAGGCAGAGAUUAGAAGCUUGAAAUCUAGAAACACACACAAAGUUAAAAAAAAGCUUGACAUUCUAAAAUCUAAGCAAUAAAGAGCAAAACACCAAAACAACAAAACCAGACGGCUAAAAAUUAAAAUCAUUUUUCUAUUGGAAACUUUUCAGGGAAUUCUUAUAAUACUAAUUCUGAGAUAGUUUUAAGCGACUAAAGGCUAAAAAAUUAGCUGAAUCUGCUAGUAUUCGAGUUUCCCGGUUCAUUUUUUAUUGGAUUUUUGUUCUGAGCCUUGUAUGGUAUCAUUGUGGGUUUGAAAUUGGGGUUUUCUUUGGUUUUGAGUUGAGUUUGAUACAUGCGGAUUGAGUGCAACUUGAAUCUGGGUUGAUUGGCCUGAAGUUCCUGUUCCAUUGGUUGUUCUGAUGUUGAUUGCUACUGUUUCUCAUUGCUGAAUUUCUCACCUCUCUAUUGAUUUGCUUGCCGGUAUCUUCUUAAGCUUAUGAACACUGACUAAUUGUUGGCUAUGUAAUUCGAGGGGAACUUGAUGGAAUACAAGCUUAUUCGAUUUAAUCUUUUUCUGUUCUUUACUAUUUCAUGUUCUGUAUUGGAUCUGUAAUCGCGCGUAUUAUAAGGCUGCGUUUGGGUUUGAAGUUGAAUGUUUAGUUUCAAUUUUGAAUAGCAUGUUUGGAAAUUUCAAAAGCACGUUUUGUGGAAGAAAAUUUAGGCAUAUGAGUACGAUCAGAUGAUAGACUUUUAUUUGGUAUUAGUUUGAUUCAAAGUGUAUGUGUUUAUAUGACAAAUGAGGCUGACUAUGGUUAGCAUGCAUGAUUAUUUAUUUGGUUGAGCAUAAAAAUAUUUGCAUGCAAAAGAAAUAGUUUAUCAGUUAUCAAGGCUUGUGUUUUGAGCCCAACAGCUCCUUUGUUUUGUUUCCACUAUACUCCCUUUCAUAAGUGGGUUUGAUUAAUGUAUGCCAAAUGGAAAUAGAAAUAUAGUUAGUCAAUUCAUGUUAACCAGCUAAGGGCUAGAAGUAAAAUGUUAGUUCACUCUCACUUUUCCUUCAACUUGUUUAAGUCAGAUUGUAGCUGAACUGAUUGGGCUCAAAUGUUGAUUCUGUAAUUUGGGGCCCAAUACUGGCCCAAUUAAUGAAAAGCAAAGCUAGCCAAUGCUUGGGAAUAGGUCUUUGUAUGGCGAAUUCCCUUUAAACUCGGGCUCACCAUUUUAAGCCCAACUCUGCAAGCAUGCAUGAAUGGAAUUUGGCCCCCUCGCAUCUUUGAUUGAACUUUGUUUUGUCGUUUGUUUACGCUGGCCCAAGUUUCUGUUAUUAUCUAACUAAUCCUUUUCCAUACAAGUUUCUUUUUUUUUGUGUUUUAAAACUCCGUCAUUCAUUCGUCGCUUAAUUGAUUAGAAUUUACUAGUGGAGGUGAGCCCUAAUUAGAUAAUUAAUAGUCUAUGGCCCUCCGAGCUUUAGUUGAAACAUCCUCUAAAAUACAAAUUUGAGGUGCGCCGCGCCGGAUAAAAUCACAAAUUGUGUGACCCUCUUUACUUAUUUUAUCAAAACAUUUAGAAUUCGGGACGUGCCAUUUAGCGAAUUUUCAUGGCAUCCCACAAAGUAAAGAAUACGCUAGUAGUUUUAGGCGUGCGUUUAAUAAUAUUACUUUCCUAAAUUCGGGUGCGCAUUUAUGUGACCCAAAUCCAAAUCUCAACACUGUUAAAAUAUGGGAAAAAUAAUGGGUGUAUUUAUGUGACGUAGUUCGAGACGUGUUUUAACGACGUUGUAAUUCUCUUUAAAAGUAAUAAUAAAAGCGGCUAAAAAUUAAAAUUUGCACAUAGGUUUAUAAUUAUUUAAAAUCAGAUAAUUAAGCUAAAUAUAGCAGUUGAGCGACCGUGCUAGAACCACGGAACUCGGGAGUGCCUAACACCUUCUCCCGGGUUAACAGAAUUCCUUACCCGGAUUUCUAAUUCGCAGACCAUAAUUAGAGUCAAAUUUUUCCUCGAUUCGGGAUUUAAAUUAGUGACUUGGGUAACCAUAAAUUAUCCCAAGUGGCGAAUCUAAUUUUUAAAUAAAUAAAUCUCAUUUCGAUUGUCCUUAAAUUGGAAAAACUCCUUCAUCUACGCCCUUCCCGGGGUUAUAGUUGUUAAAAAUGAGGUGUGACACAUAUAUACAUACAUAUAUACGCGUAUAUAACGCCACAUGAUCACGGGUCAAUGUACAUGAUUGCAAUGCAUGAAAAGUACGUUAAUAAAAACUUUCAAAAUUGUCAUACGACCAUUUUUCCUUUGAGUAAAAUCAUAAAGUAACCUCUUUUCAACUUUCGUACUUUUCUGAGACACAUGAACAACAACAACUACUACAACCCAGUAUAGUCCCACAAAGUGGGGUCUGUGGAGGGUAUAUGUAGACGGGCCUUACCCCUACCCGAAAGGGCAGAGAGGCUAUUUCCAAUCGACCCUCGGNNNNNNNNNNNNNNNNNNNNNNNNNNNNNNNNNNNNNNNNNNNNNNNNNNNNNNNNNNNNNNNNNNNNNNNNNNNNNNNNNNNNNNNNNNNNNNNNNNNNNNNNNNNNNNNNNNNNNNNNNNNNNNNNNNNNNNNNNNNNNNNNNNNNNNNNNNNNNNNNNNNNNNNNNNNNNNNNNNNNNNNNNNNNNNNNNNNNNNNNNNACAGUGACUACCAUAAAUAACUACCAUAAGGGAGACACAAUCUAAUACACAAAUCAUCUAUGGAUAGCCAUGCCAAGCCUCACCCAACCCCGGGUGAGGAGUACGAAAAACUCUAAGAGCCCCUAUCCUACAACCCUGAUACUGAGACCCAUGAACAUAUGGUAAAUAUUAUGACACAUGAAAAUUUAAGAACAUAGAUAUUUCUAAUACUUUUAUGAAUAGAGUUAUUCAUGGAAUUUGUUCAUUUGCACGUUUCACUCAUAUCGUAUGGAUCAUACCAAAAGAAAGAAGGAAUAGCCUUAACAUACAUAUUUUUUGAGUUAUCUGAACGAAUCUGCCUCUGCAAAGUAUGAACAAAAUUACAUUUGAAUUCUUUAAAAUCUUGGACGAAUUUUUCUGCUUUGAACGUUUUUUAUCUGAAAGAAUGGAUUUAAACUUGAAAAUUAUCCAAACGUAAGUGGCAAUUACAGUUGAAUUCCUUAAAAUCUUGAAAGAAUUAUUCUGCUUUGAACAUUUUUUAUCCUAAAGAAUGGAUUUAAGCUUGAAACUUAUCCAAACAUAAGAAGUGGCUUCUGUUCCUAGAUUUUGAAAUUCCUAUCGAAAUUUCUUAAGGGGUUAAAUUUGUUUGGACAAAAUGGCUUGAAAUGAAGCUUUAGUCGUUUGACAUUGAAUGUUUUUGCUUUCAACGUUCUUGGCUUUAAAUGCCAAGGGUAGAUUAUUGUUUUGAAGACUUCUCAAGGUAUUUCUACUAAAUGCUAUGGAUAAGAGAUAAGACUUAAGUUAUGACUAUAUUAGCCAACGGGCAAAAUGAAUACUUAGUCAUUUCAAAUAUUGUGGCUUUUUGCCACGUGGGGUGGGGUGAAAUAAUUUAUUAAUUUUUAUUCAUUUAUUAAUUAUCUAGGUAAUAUUUCGUCACUCGAUAAUUAAUUCAUUACCCACAUAAUUUAAAAAUUACUAUAAAUUACUUAAAAUUCUAUUUAUUUUUAAAAGACUUCAUAUAUUAUAUUAUCGUGGUCAUAUGAUACCUUGCAUGGUACUAGUUCAUAAUUAUCGGGUAUUAUCGCUUGACCCGUUAUUUUAUCCCAAAAUGUCAAACUUGGACAAAAUUCAUUUUCUUUGACUUGCUCCCCUUUCACUUUCAUGAAUUUAUUAAUCACUUGUGAAAUAGCAUAAUUCUUAUGAUCUCCAAAUGAUCUUUUACUUAGACUGAUGUCAAUUACCUUAUGACAAAUUUAAUGUACAAUACAUUAGGAUGCAACAUCAUCGUAACUUAAUACCGCAAUAUAUAUUAUUGCAGAGCAUAACAUCGACAUAAUACUGCGGGGCAUAAUAAUGUUUUUUUGCUUUCAAUACCAGUGUUUAGAUAAUUGACUUAUGGGCUUCAGAACAUAUGUGCUUUGAUUCAAAUACUUUUAUCUCUUUAGAUUCUCUUCUUACACCUUUACACAUAAAUCUGCCUAAUUCAUUUAGAGUAAUGUUUAUACAUACAUGGGAAGUCCCCAUCUCUCCUAAUUCCAUGCCUAGUUUCAAAUAUAAUCUAUUAUCAGUUAAUAGAUUUUCUGUUUAGUUUCAAUGUAUAGUCUUAUUCACUCCUACUCAAUCUCUAUUGCAGGCCCAUUUAAUGAAGAGGCCUCAAGUUUUUGGUGAUACAAGUAAAUGACUCUACAUGUUGCAGCCUAGUCUUUCGGAGAAAACGGUUUCACCUUCAGUUCAUAAUGUUUUCAUUCAAAUUUCAGUUGUAUUUCCAUUUUCUACCAAUGUGGUUACAGAUAUAAACCUUUGGCAUGUUAGAUUAGGGCAUAUGCCUUUUUCAUCAAUGACGAAUCUUAGUUUUGUUUCAUUGCCUUCCAAUUCUGAUUACUUAUGUGAUAUUUGUCCUAAAGCUAGGCAAACUAGGAUUCUUUAUUCCAUGAGUCAAAUCAAAUCUAAAAGUGCAUUUGAAUUAAUUCAUGUGGAUACAUGAUGCCCUUAUAAGGAACCUACCUUUACUGGCUUUAAGUACUUUUUAACUAUUGUGGAUGAUUUUAGUAGGGGUACUUGGACAUUCUUGUUAUGUACCAAGAGUAAUGCCUUCACGGUCUUAAAGAAUUUUGUAACAAUGGUUGAAAGAUAAUUUGCAGUUAAGGUACAAAAAUUGAGAACGGAUAAUGAAUUUGAAUUAGGCAAGCGAUCACAACAAACAACCUUUCUCAACUCUUAAGAAAUAAUACAUCAAACUUCUUAUGUAUCAACACCUCAGCGGAAUGGCAUAGUUGAAAGAAAACAUAGAUACCUAUUGAAAAUAGCAAGGCUUUGCUUUUCCAAUCUAAGGUGCCUAUCAGGUAUUGCCGUAUUGGGGAAAGAGUACACCAACUACAACACACCUAAUAAACAGGAUACCUUCCAAGGUUCUUCAAGGAAAAAACUGUACUCCAUUAUGUUCAAUCAAUCUCCAACUUAUGAUUCAUUAAGGUCAUUUGGAUAUCUUUGUUAUGUUUCUAUCUUGUCUAAUGGUAGAAACAAAGUUGAGCCAAGGGCAAAGAGUUGUGUCUUUCUGGGUUAUCCUUUAGGUCAAAAAGGGUAUAAAAUGUUGCACUUAGAUACUAAAAACAUUCUUGUAUCUAGAGUUGUUCGUUUUUAUAAAAAUAUAUAUCUUUUUUCUUCAACUUUCAUACCUCAUUUAGAUAUUUCUAACCCAGGUCCUAUAUUUCCUACCCCUUAUCCUAUGGACACAACCACCAACGACCUUCCACCAAACACAUCUUUGAUUAAGCCUACAUUACCUUCAUCACCUAGUAUCACCAGAAUUCACCCAACUCAAUCUUCUCCCUCACCAUCAUAUCAAUCUUCUCAUUCUUCUUCUCCAAUCACUACUGGUUUUCCCACUACAUCCACUCAUACAUCAGGUAUCAGGAAGUCUAUUAGAUUUUCUAAUGGCCUUCUCACCUCAAAGAUUUUGUUUUCUCUAACAUCUAUUUGGCUGACCUAACCUUCUCCUGUUUCAUCCAACCCUUGCAAACCCAUAUUUUUCGCUUUGGUGCACUUUCUGCCCAUAACAAAUAGAUGAUGCAAUCUCUUUCAUAGAUUUUAGAGCCCACCAGCUUCUCUCAAGCUUCUGCCCAUCCAGGAUAGAUGCAAGCAAUGCAUUCAGAAAUUGAAGCUUUAAAAGCUAAUCACACAUAGGAUACGGUUCUUUUACCACUAGGGAAGAAGGCCCUACCAUGUAAAUAUGCAUACAAGGUCAAAUAUAAUUCAGAUAGAACAGUGAAAAGACUCAAAAACAUGGUUGGUGGUAAGGGGGGAUAUUCAAAGGGAAGGCAUUGACUACACAGAGACAUUGUCUCCUCUAGCCAAAAUAACUACCAUAUGUUGCUUAAUGGCCGUUGCAGUAAAGAAAAAUUGGCAUAUCUCUCAAAUGGAUGUUAGUAAUGCAUUUUUACAUGGUGACUUACAAGAAGAUGUGCUUAUGAAGAUUCCAGCAUGUAUACCCUUGCCCAGUCCUAAUCGUGCAUGUUUACUUAGGAGAUCACUUUAUGGUUUAAUGAAAGCUUCAUGGCAAUGGUAUGAUCAGCUUGCUGGUGCAUUAAGUUUUAAGGGUUAUUCUUCAUCCUUAAAUGAUUAUUCUUUAUUCUUCAAAAUAAAAAGAAUUUGAUUUCUAUGGCAGCUGUUUAUGUUGACGACAUUCUCAUCAGUGGAGAUGAUAUAGAAAAAAAUAACCUCAGUCAAGUCUUUUCUUCACCGUGAAUUCAAAGUCAAAGAUUUGGGUGAUCUUCAUUAUUUCUUAGGUAUGGAAAUACUUCGAGAAAAAUAUGGGAUUAUAGUAUGUUAGAGGACAUAUACCUUAGAUUUAUUGAAGGAGUUUGAUGUUUCUGCCUUUUCCUCUGUAUCUUCUCCACUCGAACCUUCAUCUAAGCUUCACGCUGAUGAAGGUACUUUGCUUCUUGAUCCAACCAUCUAUUGGCAUCUUGUAGGGACAUUGAACUACUUAACCCAUACAAGACCAGAUUUAUCAUUUGUUGUGCUGAGUCAAUACAUGCAACAACUCAGAUACUCGUAUUUCUCUGCAGCUCUUCAUGUUCUACGCUAUUUGAAUUUGGAUCCAGGACAAGGCAUUCUCUUAAAUUUAGAUCGCUCUCUAUCUCUUCUAGAUUUUUGUCAUGCCGAUUGGGCUUCAUGUCCUGCCAGUCGCCAGUCAAUGAAUAGAUUUUACAUCAGUCUUGGUGGCUCCCCUAUCUCUUGGAAAUCAAAGAAAUAGAUCUUCAUUUUAUUAUCAUCUACUAAAGCAGAAUAUCGAUCCAUGCGCCGAGUAGUAGCAGAACUCACUUGGCUCACUCGUCUUCUCUCCGACAUCUCUGCUACUCUAUCUUUGAUGAUGCCACUUUUCUUCGAUAGUAAGACGAUGAUUCACAUAGCCCGAAACCCCGUGUUUCAUGAGAGAACAAAACAUAUACAACUGGACUGUCAGUUUUCUCGGCAACAAUUUCUCUCAGGCUUAAUCUCCCUUUCUUAUGUUCCCUCAUCUUCUCAACUAUAGAUUUAUUCACAAAACCCUUUUCAGAGCUUUCGCACACAUCUAUUCUUGACAAGUUGGGUAUCAUUUCAUUAUCCUCCAACUUGAGGGGAUGUUGAGAACAAGGUAUCAUUGACAGCUAUUCAUUCUCAUAAGGAAGAAAAGAAACAGCAC
rnacentral:lncRNA from 1 species